UACGUAGGUGGCAAGCGUUGUCCGGAUUUAUUGGGUUUAAAGGGUGCGUAGGCGGCCUUAUAAGUCAGUGCUGAAAUAUCCCGGCUUAACCGGGAGGGUGGCAUUGAUACUGUAGGGCUUGAGUGUAGUCGAGGUAGACGGAAUUGACGGUGUAGCGGUGAAAUGCUUAGAUAUCGUCAAGAACACCGAUAGUGUAGACAGCUUACUAGGCUACAACUGACGCUGAGGCACGAAAGUGUGGGGAUCAAACAGG
rnacentral:rRNA from 1 species